rnacentral:rRNA from 1 species
UACGUAGGUGGCGAGCGUUGUCCGGAUUUACUGGGCGUAAAGGGAGCGUAGGCGGACUUUUAAGUGAGAUGUGAAAUACUCGGGCUCAACUUGAGUGCUGCAUUUCAAACUGGAAGUCUAGAGUGCAGGAGAGGAGAAUGGAAUUCCUAGUGUAGCGGUGAAAUGCAUAGAUAUUAGGAGGAACACCAGUGGCGAAGGCGGCCUGCUGGACGGUGACUGACGCUGAGGCUCGAAAGCGUGGGGAGCAAACAGG